rnacentral:rRNA from 1 species
GACGAACGCUGGCGGCGUGCUUAACACAUGCAAGUCGAGCGGUAAGGCCCUUUCGGGGGUACACGAGCGGCGAACGGGUGAGUAACACGUGGGUGACUUGCCCUCAGCUCUGGGAUAAGCCUGGGAAACUGGGUCUAAUACUGGAUAUGACUCCACGGUGCAUGUCGUGGGGUGAAAGCCUUGUGCGGCUGAGGAUGGGCCCGCGGCCUAUCAGCUUGUCGGUGGGGUGANGGCCUACCAAGGCGACGACGGGUAGCCGGCCUGAGAGGGCGACCGGCCACACUGGGACUGAGACACGGCCCAGACUCCUACGGGAGGCAGCAGUGGGGAAUCUUGCGCAAUGGGCGAAAGCCUGACGCAGCGACGCCGCGUGAGGGAUGACGGCCU